rnacentral:rRNA from 1 species
AGGACGAACGCUGGCGGCGUGCUUAACACAUGCAAGUCGAGCGGAAAGGCCCUUCGGGGUACUCGAGCGGCGAACGGGUGAGUAACACGUGAGCAACCUGCCCCUAGCUCUGGGAUAGCUCCGGGAAACCGGGAUUAAUACCAGAUACGACCACUUUAGACAUCUGCUGUGGUGGAAAGGAUUCCGGCUAGGGAUGGGCUCGCGGCCUAUCAGCUUGUUGGUGGAGUAACGGCCCACCAAGGCGACGACGGGUAGCCGGCCUGAGAGGGCGACCGGCCACACUGGGACUGAGACACGGCCCAGACUCCUACGGGAGGCAGCAGUGGGGAAUAUUGCGCAAUGGGCGAAAGCCUGACGCAGCGACGCCGCGUGGGGGAUGAAGGCCUUCGGGUUGUAAACCCCGUUUCAGCAGGGACGAAGCGAAAGUGACGGUACCUGCAGAAGAAGCGCCGGCUAACUACGCGCCAGCAGCCGC